GGCGAGACUAGAGUCACAUCUUGACAGCCAGUCAUUGUCCUGGUGUGCUAGAGUCCUCGCAGAGCAAACUUCUCUGCUUAUUCAUUGGCUGCAGUCUCAUGUGGCCCAGCCAAUCACCAGCUCAGAGAUAUUA
ensembl:snoRNA small nucleolar RNA SNORA3/SNORA45 family